rnacentral:rRNA from 1 species
CCUACGGGAGGCAGCAGUGAGGAAUAUUGGUCAAUGGCCGAGAGUCUGAACCAGCCAAGUCGCGUGAAGGAUGACUGCCCUAUGGGUUGUAAACUUCUUUUAUCAAGGAAUAAAACCAGCCACGUGUGCCUUUUUGCAUGUACUUUAUGAAUAAGGAUCGGCUAACUCCGUGCCAGCAGCCGCGGUAAUACGGAGGAUCCGAGCGUUAUCCGGAUUUAUUGGGUUUAAAGGGAGCGUAGAUGGGUUGUUAAGUCAGUUGUUAAAGUUUGCGGCUCAACCGUAAUAUUGCAAUUGAUACUGGCAGUCUUGAGUACAGUUGAGGUAGGCGGAAUGCGUGGUGUAGCGGUGAAAUGCUUAGAUAUCACGAAGAACCCCGAUUGCGAAGGCAGCUUACUAAACUGUGACUGACAUUGAUGCUCGAAAGUGUGGGUAUCAAACAGGAUUAGAUACCCCGGUAGUC